CUCAGUUUCAAUCGGGGCGAAAUGAUUAUGUAGGAGCCUUUUAUACGAUAACAGAGGAGAAAAAAAGCAGCAGCAGGUGCAAUAGCUCAUCAGUUGCCGUAGCAGGACUUGAAAAGGAAGCAAAGAAAUGAGAAGCAGAUGAAAGGUCCCAAUCUGAAGUAUACUGCACAGCCAACAUCGGUUUCAGACUCGAAAAGAAGCAACACAACUAGGCUGUUUCUGGACAAAUAGAAUCAGAAGCAAUAAUUACCUGAUGAUAAGCUGUUGUUUUUCCUAAUUCUCCAAAUCAUGCCUGGAGGUGCGUAAAUACAAGUAGGAAAGUAAGAAUUCUCUCCUCUUCUUCCUUAAUACGUAAAAUUCCUAUAGCUUUUUAA